rnacentral:lncRNA from 1 species
UCGUGAGCUGAUUCUCUAUCUGAAAGGGUAUAAUAAGAGUCAUUCUGACAUCAGACGCCAAACUUGCAUAAAUCUUGUAUAAUUAUUCUGACACGCGGCUUCUUCUUCGAUACGCGCAGUUAGCCUUCUUACAUCGGUCUCAUUCACUUUUGAAAAAGUCGACCCCGAGUUCUCUUCUUCAUAAAAAGCCUCAUCAAACUGCAGUUUGCUGUAAGUACCAACUGGAAACCUCUCCUUUCGCAGAAACACCAUCACAUUGAAAGC